UUGGCAUAAUGGUUAAGUGCUGGGCUGCUAACCCAGAGGUUGGCAGUUCGAACCUAUCA
rnacentral:tRNA from 1 species